rnacentral:rRNA from 1 species
CCUCACAGCUAGGGACAACAUUUAGAAAUGAAUGCUAAUACCUAAUAUUAUGAUAAUAGGGCAUCCUAUAAUUAUGAAAGCUAUAUGCGCUGUGAGAGAGCUUUGCGUCCCAUUAGCUAGUUGGAGAGGUAACGGCUCACCAAGGCGAUGAUGGGUAGCCGGCCUGAGAGGGUGAUCGGCCACAAGGGGACUGAGACACGGCCCUUACUCCUACGGGAGGCAGCAGUGGGGAAUAUUGGACAAUGGACCGAGAGUCUGAUCCAGCAAUUCUGUGUGCACGAUGAAGUUUUUCGGAAUGUAAAGUGCUUUCAGUUGGGAAGAAAUAAAUGACGGUACCAACAGAAGAAGUGACGGCUAAAUACGUGCCAGCAGCCGCGGUAAUACGUAUGUCACGAGCGUUAUCCGGAUUUAUUGGGCGUAAAGCGCGUCUAGGUGGUUAUAUAAGUCUGAUGUGAAAAUGCAGGGCUCAACUCUGUAUUGCGUUGGAAACUGUAUAACUAGAGUACUGGAGAGGUAAGCGGAACUACAAGUGUAGAGGUGAAAUUCGUAGAUAUUUGUAGGAAUGCCGAUGGGGAAGCCAGCUUACUGGACAGAUACUGACGCUGAAGCGCGAAAGCGUGGGUAGCAAACAGGAUUAGAUACCCUGGUAGUCCACGCUGUAAACGAUGAUUACUAGGUGUUGGGGGUCGAACCUCAGCGCCCAAGCAAACGCGAUAAGUAAUCCGCCUGGGGAGUACGUACGCAAGUAUGAAACUCAAAGGAAUUGACGGC